UCAGUUUAUUGUCAUGUUCCAAACACACACGAUGCCUGUUUUAACUAUAAACUCCCAACUCAGAAAACAAAUUCACUGAUCAGAUCAAUUCGAGAUGAAGUGCCCAAAGCUGAAUGCAAUACUGUGGGUGAGAUACGACUAAGACUUUGAAGAAUUGAAGCAUCACUCCUCUAUUCCAAAAUCCCCAAGUUAAAGAUCUCCUGCAUCUGUCGUUCUUUGUUUUAUCUGAUUCAUUAAUACUGCUUAAGGAAUGAAAUUUGUCAUCUUUUCCUGGCCUGGCCUGGCCUACAUGUGACUACAGACCCUCAGUAAAGUGGUUAAUUAAUAACUGCCAUCUGAAAUGACCUGACAAACAACGCUGUUCAAGGGCUGUUAAAUGAUGGAAUGCCAUGAAAGAGAAAAAGAAAUUCCCAGUUCAAUUGCCCAUGUUAAGAUCUAAUUCAAAUGUCUUUGUGAGAUGCUUCUGCACGUGAUAUUAUAACAAAAUCUGCAUUACUUACAUUACAAAAGGUAGUAGAAUUAUUGAAUCCUUACUCUGCAGAUAAAGGCCAUUCAGCCCAUUGAAUCCACACUGGCCCUCAAAGAGCAUCUCAUCCAGACCCACUCCA